UAUUGUUAAGUAAAACAAGGAUGCCAUUUUUGCUAUGGGGAAAGCUACUACAGGGACUAUUUUUCUUGUCAGUAUGUAGCAAGCUCAAUGGGACCCCUAGUUAUCAGACAACUAAGCCUUUAUACACUGAGAAUAGUCUGUGAAAUCAACACAGUCUCUCUCCUAAAUUUGCAUCCUUUGAGAUAAAUGCAUUGCCAUGGACAAAAUCUGUGAUAGAUGGCUUAAUGUGUGAUAAUUCAUUGAAAGUCUUACACGUGUAAAGAUGAGAUUAACUGAGUCACGUUCAUGUCUACCCAUUAGUAAUAAGCUUGGCAGUGAGAAGAAUUUGUCUCAGGACUGGAGCCUGAGCAUGGAAAUGCACUCAUUGAGUUUGUGCUGCCACAAGGAUAAAGCUGCAAGAAAUUUGGUGUCCUGGAUGAGAGAACAGAAAAGGGUCUGUACUUAAGAAGAAGGAACAUAUUAAUUCCUUCAAAAUAUUUACUUUGGAUAUGCCAUUACCUGUAUAACGAAGAGAGCUGUGCUGCCAUUAAGAAGGGUCUGAACAGGCUGGAGAGAUGGGCAGAGAGGAAUCUCUUGAAAUUCAACAACAGCAACUGUGGAGACCUGCAUAUGGAAUAAUGCUAUGUACCAAUACAGGCUGAGGGCUUACCUGCUGG